rnacentral:rRNA from 1 species
GACGAACGCUGGCGGCGUGCUUAACACAUGCAAGUCGAACGGUAAGGCCCUUCGGGGUACACGAGUGGCGAACGGGUGAGUAACACGUGGGUGAUCUGCCCUGCACUUCGGGAUAAGCCUGGGAAACUGGGUCUAAUACCGGAUAGGACUCCGGACUGCAUGGUCGGGGGUGGAAAGCUUUUGCGGUGUGGGAUGGGCCCGCGGCCUAUCAGCUUGUUGGUGGGGUGAUGGCCUACCAAGGCGACGACGGGUAGCCGGCCUGAGAGGGGGACCGGCCACACUGGGACUGAGGGACGGCCCAGACUCCUACGGGAGGCAGCAGUGGGGAAUAUUGCACAAUGGGCGCAAGCCUGAUGCAGCGACGCCGCGUGAGGGAUGACGGCCUUCGGGUUGUAAACCUCUUUCAGCAUCGACGAAGCGAAAGUGACGGUAGGUGCAGAAGAAGGACCGGCCAACUACGUGCCAGCAGCCGCGGUAA